GUGAAUCAUCAAAUUUUUGAACGCAAAUUGCGCCUUUUUCGGAAGGCAUUUCUGUUUGAGGGCACCAUUUAACAGAUAAUGUGCAGCGUUUUUUUUUGCACACGUUGAUGAGCUUUCCAAUAAUUUUAAAUUUUUGGUGUCGCAUAAUGAACAGCGUGAAAGUUUUUUUCAGUUCGAGUGUAUUAAAAUCUUUUCUUUUGUUGUUAAAAAACAUAUUCUCUCAAUGGGUGUGUAAAUUUCUUUUUAUCCCUUCCCCAAUGCCACUCUUUCUCACGAAAGUAUGUCUAAUAUUCAGGUCCU
rnacentral:misc_RNA from 1 species